CACAGUUUAAAUUUUCAGUGUUAAAAAAUUCAGCAUAUAAAAAAUUCAACUUUUCAAAAUUCGAAUGCAAUAUUUUCAUUGUCCUCCAAUUCAACUUGCUCAAAUUCGCUGUCUCAAAUUCAACGUCUAAAAAUUCGCUGCAAAAAUGGCGAGGUUACUUCAGGUCACAGACAUUAGCAAUGGAUGUCAGAUUCCAGGACCCAGCUGAUCACGUGACACAACCGUCAUAUUGAAGAAAUACCAGCAUCGCCGAGGCUGGCGACCAUGGAGGCGAAUGAAAACCCAACGGUGAGUUUAAUGCUUUCAUAUUUCUGUAUUAUAUUUUAUUUUGCGCAUGAAGUUUGAUACAUUAUCUUAAAUCUUGAUUUAAAACACGGGUUGGGCCGUUGUUAAUCUUACACCAUGUAGUGCUAGCAUAUUACGUCUUGCUACCUCCUAGCCCCCCCAGCCCCUCACCCAAUUUACCCCGUUUUAUUUCAAAAAGAAAUACCACUUGCGCCAAGUCUAGAAUCUUGAAAGAGAACUGAUGGGUGGCGACUUUCUGGGUUGUUUGAUGUUGUCUUAGGUGAGACUGAGACAGGCAGUCUUAGUAAAGUGUAAUUUUUCAGGAGAUGCUACCGCUAAUGUACUAAGCUAAUAUGGCUGCCUUGUAUGCUUCAAGGAGGGGCUGUGAACACUACCGACAUUAAUUAUAACCACAACCCCAUUCUGUUCAGCUACUGUAUUGUUCAGGUGACUUCAUUUAUGAAUUAAUUAAGAAAUUUAUUGUCAUUACAACAUCAUCCAAAAUACUGCUUCUCUUAUCUGACAAGUGUUGAUAUACAAUAUUAAUUUACAUUAUUUUCUUUCUUGCUUUUUUUUCCCUCUGAGUCAUUUGUGAUGUCUUUUGCAGCUCGAAGGAGAAUCCAGGCUCUCUGAUACUUAAAUGGAAAGAGUACAGAGCUUGGCAUAUUCAUGGGACCUUCUUUGCCCCACAGAGAACAAUAGGAAGUGGCUUUUUGAGAAGCUGUUACUUCAUGCAGUUCUUGGACGUGUCGCAAGACAAAUAAAGCAGCUUAGACGAGGCUUGAAAGAAAUCCCAAUAUGGUCACUGGUAACUCGGCGGCCUGAUGCUGUACCGCUGCUUUUUCCACUGGAGGAAGCCUCCCUGUGUCCAGAGUUUUUUCUACUAAACUUAGGUGGUACUUCAGCAUAUCACUUGGCCAGAAACAGAUGACGGAAGUGAUGAAGAUGACGACUGCUCAAAGGAAACCAGAUGCCGCAUUUCAGGAUAUCUGAAACAGUUAAUUGCAAAUGCCACACCACCUGAACUGAAAGACAUGAUGAAAUUCUGGACCGGAUGGGAAAAUCUGCCAUCAAGUCUGUCUGUGGAGAUAGUUCAUGGAAACUACCCAACAGCUGCCACUUGCUAUGAAACGCUAAGAAUUCCUUGUCACUACAGGAGUUACAAAUCUUUCAGUGAUGAGUUUUUAGCUUGCAUUUCCUCUACGCAAACUGGCUUUGGCUUGCUUUGAAUGAUCGACCUGUAAAAAAAAAAAAAAUCUACAUUUAAGCUGUAGCAGUUCUGUUUGU